GACGAACGCUGGCGGCGUGCUUAACACAUGCAAGUCGAACGGAAAGGCCCUGCUUUUGUGGGGUGCUCGAGUGGCGAACGGGUGAGUAACACGUGAGUAACCUGCCCUUGACUUUGGGAUAACUUCAGGAAACUGGGGCUAAUACCGUAUAGGAGCUCCUGCUGCAUGGUGGGGGUUGGAAAGUUUCGGCGGUUGGGGAUGGACUCGCGGCUUAUCAGCUUGUUUGUGGGGUAGUGGCUUACCAAGGCUUUGACGGGUAGCCGGCCUGAGAGGGUGACCGGCCACAUUGGGACUGAGAUACGGCCCAGACUCCAACGGGAGGCAGCAAUGGGGAAUAUUGCACAAUGGGCGGAAGCCUGAUGCAGCAACGCCGCGUGCGGGAUGACGGCCUUCGGGUUGUAAACCGCUUUCGCAUGUGACGAAGCGUGAGUGACGGUAAUGGGUAAAGAAGCACCGGCUAACUACGUG
rnacentral:rRNA from 1 species